UUCCUACGGGGGGCAGCAGUGGGGAAUAUUGCACAAUGGGGGAAACCCUGAUGCAGCGACGCCGCGUGAGCGAAGAAGUAUUUCGGUAUGUAAAGCUCUAUCAGCAGGAAAGAAAAUGACGGUACCUGACUAAGAAGCUCCGGCUAAAUACGUGCCAGCAGCCGCGGUAAUACGUAUGGAGCAAGCGUUAUCCGGAUUUACUGGGUGUAAAGGGAGCGCAGGCGGUCUGGCAAGUCUGAUGUGAAAGGCCGGUGCUCAACCCCGGGACUGCAUUGGAAAAUGUCAGACUGGAGUGUCGGAGAGGG
rnacentral:rRNA from 1 species